AUUGAACGCUGGCGGCAUGCCUUACACAUGCAAGUCGAACGGCAGCGGGGACUUCGGUCCGCCGGCGAGUGGCGAACGGGUGAGUAAUGUAUCGGAACGUACCUUUCAGUGGGGGAUAACGUAGCGAAAGUUACGCUAAUACCGCAUAUUCUCUGAGGAGGAAAGCAGGGGACCUUCGGGCCUUGCGCUGAUGGAGCGGCCGAUAUCAGAUUAGCUAGUUGGUGGGGUAAAGGCUCACCAAGGCUACGAUCUGUAGCGGGUCUGAGAGGAUGAUCCGCCACACUGGGACUGAGACACGGCCCAGACUCCUACGGGAGGCAGCAGUGGGGAAUUUUGGACAAUGGGCGAAAGCCUGAUCCAGCCAUGCCGCGUGAGUGAAGAAGGCCUUCGGGUUGUAAACCGCUUUUGUCGGGGAAGAAAUGCUCCGGGAUAAUACCCUGGGGAGAUGACGGUACCCGAAGAAUAAGCACCGGCUAACUACGUGCCAGCCGCCGCCGUAA
rnacentral:rRNA from 1 species